rnacentral:rRNA from 1 species
CACGGCCCCCCUCACGGGGGGUACCCCCCACCCUUGUGUAUUAUACCUUUGUUGCUUUGGCGGGCCGCGUCAAGCCACCGGCUCACGCUGGCGAGCGCCCGCCAGAGGCCCCAACUCUUGAUUUUAUGAUGUCUGAGUACUAUAUAAUAGUUAAAACUUUCAACAACGGAUCUCUUGGUUCUGGCAUCGAUGAAGAACGCAGCGAAAUGCGAUAAGUAAUGUGAAUUGCAGAAUUCAGUGAAUCAUCGAAUCUUUGAACGCACAUUGCGCCCCGUGGUAUUCCGCGGGGCAUGCCUGUUCGAGCGUCAUUAUGACCAACAUCACGCCUCGCGUGGUCUUGGGGCUGGCAACUCUGCCGCCCUCAAACGCAGUGGCAGCGCCGCAUGGCUCUUAGCGUAGUAAUACUCCUCGCUAUAGGGUCCUACGGUUGCCCGCCAGCAACCCCCAAUCUUUACAGGUUGACCUCGGAUCAGGUAGGGAUACCCGCUGAACUUAAGCAUAUCAAUAAGCGG